UACGAAGGGGGCUAGCGUUGCUCGGAAUCACUGGGCGUAAAGCGCACGUAGGCGGAUUGUUAAGUCAGGGGUGAAAUCCUGGAGCUCAACUCCAGAACUGCCUUUGAUACUGGCGAUCUUGAGUCCGGAGAGGUGAGUGGAACUGCGAGUGUAGAGGUGAAAUUCGUAGAUAUUCGCAAGAACACCAGUGGCGAAGGCGGCUCUCUGGGACGGUACUGACGCUGAGACGCGAAGCGUGGAGCGAACAG
rnacentral:rRNA from 1 species